rnacentral:lncRNA from 1 species
GCACACAGGUUUUGCCCAGGGAGGAUGGAGUGGGCAGUUUGGUUUGUGACUGGAGCAGGACGUGAGUGAGGUUUUAUAGAUCCAUAUGCCUGGCUGUUCUGAGCUUAUCAUCCCUGUGCUGAUGAGGCCAUUGCGAUGAGAAGAGGCUAGACGAGGUCCAGACAGCUCCCCAUCACACCCCGGCGUUAGGAGCACGCCUUUCUCCUCUUCCUUUAUCGGAUCAAAGUCUUCCAUCAAGCUGUCUGGUUCUGUCUUAUUCAAUUAAAC